GCACCCAUAGCUCAAUUGGAUAGAGCAUCUGACUACGGAUCAGAAGGUUAGAGGUUCGAGUCCUCUUGGGUGCACCA
rnacentral:tRNA from 2 species